rnacentral:rRNA from 1 species
CGGGGUUAGUCUGGACGCACGCGCGCUACACUGAUCAAGUCAACGAGUUUACAACCUUGGCCGGAAGGUCUGGGUAAUCUUUUGAAACUUGAUCGUGCUGGGGAUAGUCCAUUGCAAUUAUUGGACUUCAACGAGGAAUUCCUAGUAAGCGUGAGUCAUCAGCUCGCGUUGAUUACGUCCCUGCCCUUUGUACACACCGCCCGUCGCUACUACCGAUUGAAUGGCUUAGUGAGGCUUUCGGAUUGGAUCUGAGCAGCUGGCAACAGCAGCUUGGAACUGAAAAGUUAUCCAAACUUGGUCAUUUAGAGGAAGUAAAAGUCGUAACAAGGUUUCCGUAGGUGAACCUGCGGAAAC